rnacentral:rRNA from 1 species
GAUGAACGCUGGCGGCGUGCCUAAUACAUGCAAGUCGAACGCAUAGCGAAAGGUGCUUGCCCCUUUCAAGUGGGUGGCGAACGGGUGAGUAACACGUGGACACCCUGCCUCAAGGCUGGGGAUACCAUGUGGAAACAGAUGCUAAUACCGAAUAAAACUUAGUGUCGCAUGACCCAAAGUUAAAAAGCGCUUUGGCGUCACCUAUAGAUGGAUCCGCGGUGCAUUAGUUAGUUGGUGGGGUAAAGGCCUACCAAGACAAUGAUGCAUAGCCGAGUUGAGAGAGUGAUCGGCCACAUUGGGACUGAGACACGGUCCAAACUCCUACGGGAGGCUGCAGUAGGGAAUCUUCCGCAAUGGGCGAAAGCCUGAUGGAGCAACGCCGCGUGUGUGAUGAAGGCCUUCGGGUCGUAAAGCACUGUUGUAUGGGAAGAACAGCUAGAAUAGGAAAUGAGCUUAGUUUGACGGUACCAAACCAGAAAGGGACGGCUAAAUACGUG